AUGUCAGGUCUCCAAGAGUACAAGAAGUGAGUAGAAAGCGGGAGACGUGUCUGCAGAAUUCCAGGCAAGUUGGAAGCGCUGCUUGAAGGGCCGGAACUCUGGACACAGUCUCAUGGGGGCACCAUAAAUAGUAGCUGAUGAGACCUGUACCCUGUUUACAGGGUGCUCAUUCAGGGCAGUGGUUGCAUUUGGCCUAGUGCCAAGAGACUAGAGGGCAAAGACCCGAUCCCUGAUUACAGGGCGGUCGUUGGCAGCAGGCUGUGAAUACAGCACGAGGCCAAGAGACCCAAAGGGCCUCAGAGACGCAAACCCUAGUUACAGGGAGGUCAAGCUGCCCACGUAACGGAAAUGAUUCUAAUCCCCCAGAUUUCGAAAGCGAGAUGCAACCUGUACCCUGAUUACAGGGUGGUCGCUGGCAUUAGCCAAAUAGGAGAGACCAUAACCUGAAUUACAGGAAGGUCAAGCUGUCAAAAUACCAAAGAGCUCGAUAUGUCCCAUUCGAGAGAGACUUGUGACAUAGACCCUAAUUACAGGGUUGUCACGCUGACUAAUGGGGCAGAGAACGGCAUAAAGCCAAAUGAGCAAGAGGGCAGAGACUCGGACCCUAGUUACAGGGCGGUCACAUUGCUCACUUUAACAAAGAGCUCAAUGCCCCUCCAAAGACAGAGGGAAGUGACUUGCACCCUGAUGACAGGGCAGUCACCCUCAAUAGCCAGAUAACGGAGCAGAAUGUCAAAACGACACAAUAGCACAGACCGGGACCCAGCUUACAGGGCGGUCACGCUGCUCAAGGUAUUAAGAGGCUCGAGAUUCCCCUACAGUCUAAUUACAUGACCUGAGGCCUGAUUUGAGGUUGGUUACUGUGCCCAGAGUUCCUUUCCUUUUCCUCCAUCUUCUUUUCUUCUCUGUGUGUGACUUUCCUGACACUUCCUUCUUCUCCACUUGUGCUUCAUGAUGCCUGAAACAGAGAGAAGGAGAACAAGGCGUGUAAGUGAGAACCGCUUUCGACAACGCCACGUCCCGCACGCAAAUUCAGUGUAAACUACUGAUACAAUGUUCUUUUCCGCAUCUGCAGACAGUCUGGAUAUUUAGGUCCAAGACAGUUCUUUGUGGUCCUCAGACACUUCCACAAGCA
rnacentral:lncRNA from 1 species